CGAAAAAAAUCGCCCCACUCUGCGCCCUCGAGCGAGGUUUCGUGCCCUCGAGCGAGAAACAGUCGCCCGACUCUGUUCCCUCCUUCGCCCGCCGCCUCCCUUCGUCCCUUCACCGCCGCCGCCCGUCGUCCCUUCGCCGCCCCUGCUCCAUCCAUUCACCAUCGCCCUGGCACUGAUCCGGCGCGUAAAUCGCACAUCACAAGCGCCGACCUCCACUGAUCCGGCGCUGGUCCCGGCGCCGAUCCUGGUCAGGACCCGUCGCCGGAGACAUCCAGGACGUCCAGGAUCCGGCUACACCUUUCACCAGCCGCCGCCGAGGAGCCCUACGCCGUAGCCAAGAUCCGAGAGGAGCAGCCGUCGCCGAGAUCUGAGAGGGGCAGCCGCCGCCGAGGUUCGAGAGGAGCUGGCCACCACGACCUCCCUCCCCAGCCAGCCGCCACCACCUCCUCCCUCACCCCCUCCCCCACGUGCCUGGCAUAGGUGGGUCUCAGCCUCCCUCCUACCUCCGUCCAAGGCUAGGAACUCCCCUCCCCUCCCGAUCUCCUCCCUUCGUCCAAGGCCACGAGCUCCCCUCCCCUACCCGAUGUGAUGAAGAGAGGGCCAGGCCUUGCCACUCCGGUGUUCGAUGUGGCCAGAUCCAGCCGGGGGACUCGCCGCAGAGCCUCCAUGUCGGCGGAGCAGCAGCAGCCCAACAGAAGGAUUUAGAAUUAUGACAAGGAGUCAGGGACACAAUCAGAUUUAUACCAUCCGUUGUGAUGAUACAAGGAAAGUAAACAUAUACGCAUAUUGUGUUCAACGUGAUGAUACAAGCGAAAGAUGGCCUACGCCGCCAACUGAUCUGCGCCAGCGUGGAAGGAGUGUUCAAAAGCAGCAGGAACAGUUGUUCCACUGCUGGUCAGAGGGAGAGCUUGGCAAGGGAGAUAGAGGGAGCUCUACAACCACGAUCUUGGCAUACAACCCGAUGGCAUCAUGCCCACUUAAGCUUCUUCCAUGUUCCAAUUCUUGCAUUUGUUGGUCUUUUACUGUCAGAGCUUACGAAAUCCAUUACAAAUGGAGGUGAGGCCAAGUCGUGAACUUGCUGAGACGUCUUUGGCUUGAAUUCUAAGGCUUGAAUCUAAAUGGAGGUGAGGCCAAGUCUUGAACGAAUACUAAGCUGGAAGAAUUCCACGAUAGACCAUUGCUUCAAGGUUGGGAGCGGCCACAACAUAAUUGACAUCAAAACCAGAUCUGGGUCCUACAUAUCCGGUCUUGCUCGUAUCCUACAAUGGUUUACAGAUGGUGUGGCUCAUUGCACUAAGAUGAUCGAUCAGAGUCCUCAAUACAUAUCGAUGACGCCUCCUCAAGAUUCACUUCUUCGUAGCCCCCAACCUUGGUAUAGUAUAAAAACCUACAAAUAAAUCAGAAGAAUAGGCAAUUAUCGGAUGCUUAUGUUUGUUGGUGUAGUAGCCCUCUUAAGUCCAGUCCUAGAGAAGUGUGUCGUAGAAGCAUAUCAGGAAGACAUGGACGUGGAUAUGCAUUAUGGUUGUAUUAUGGACGUGGAUAUGGUCGCUAUAUUAGCUAUAUCUUUUACAUA